rnacentral:tRNA from 1 species
AAAAAUUUAGUUAAACUUAUAACGUUAACUUGUCAAGUUAAAAUUAUUAAAAAAUAAUUUUUA